rnacentral:lncRNA from 1 species
CUUACUAUUUGCUGAGAAUGGUUUUGGCAAUUCACUAUCAGUUUCUAAGGAUGUAACUGGUGUUUCUUGAUUGUUCUAUUGUUGUAGUUUUUGACUACAUUUCUGCAAGCUAUCUUGUGAGGUUGAUGUGUUAGCUUGUCUCCUUUCUGUCUCUUAGGCUAUUAGUAGGUUUUACUUGUAUCUUAAUUUCUUUAACUAGUAUAGGGCUAUUGUUUUGUUUCCAUGUUUUUUCUUACUGUGUCAUUAGUUUGCUUAACUUGUUUAAGGUUAGUGCUUUGUUUCCAUGGUGCUUCCACUUAUUUCCCACUGUUUCCUCUUACUAUUUCCUGUAAUAUUGAUUUUUUGGAUAUUUUAUGUUGUUUUCAAUGUGUUUCCAAUGGUGUAACUCUGUUUCCAAUGUUUCCUAUUGAUUCCAGUUCUGUCAACCACAUUAGAUUGCAAAUGUCAUAGAGUAAAUGUGAAUGUGUGAAUGGGUUUAUACUUCCAGGAAAACUGCCUCCUCUGAUGCACUUCUGCCAUUGGUUUCCCAAAGCCUGGGGUAUGUCAGUGAUAUGUCUACUACGAUACUUUUUCCCAUGGUAAUGGAGAUAUCAGAAUAGUUAGCUUUGAUUCAGUUGGUCAAAGCUCUGUCCUAUCAACUAAAAGAGUAAAGAAGGAGGGGGGAAAAGGGAAAAUUUUUUUUAAGUUCAUUAGAUGCUGCAAUUAUUGUGAUCUAAAUGAAUGCAAUAUGCGUUAUAGGUCUAGUUAUAAGUUACUGACAAACUAACACUUUUAAUAAUAGUGAUAGUAAUAAUAAUAAUAAAGAAAAGGAAAGGAAAAAGAAAAAAAAG